AUUGAACGCUGGCGGCAUGCCUUACACAUGCAAGUCGAACGGCAGCACGGGAGCAAUCCUGGUGGCGAGUGGCGAACGGGUGAGUAAUACAUCGGAACGUGCCCAGUAGUGGGGGAUAGCCCGGCGAAAGCCGGAUUAAUACCGCAUACGACCUGAGGGUGAAAGCGGGGGAUCGCAAGACCUCGCGCUAUUGGAGCGGCCGAUGUCAGAUUAGCUAGNGGUGGGGUAAAGGCCUACCAAGGCUACGAUCUGUAGUUGGUCUGAGAGGACGACCAGCCACACUGGGACUGAGACACGGCCCAGACUCCUACGGGAGGCAGCAGUGGGGAAUUUUGGACAAUGGGGGCAACCCUGAUCCAGCAAUGCCGCGUGCAGGAAGAAGGCCUCGG
rnacentral:rRNA from 1 species